UUUAACAAUGAAACAAUGAAUGCGUGUGAAGUAAAACUCCUAUAAGCCGAUAUGAUUAUGUAAAUUGGAAUACAAUUGGUGACUUGAUUCUUGAAAAUAACUCGAUACAAAACCCACACAAGCAAGGCUAUAAAUAUGUAAAAUAUGUUCAUCCUCAUAAUCAUGGUGGCAUAAUUUUCUUUUAGUGAUGUAAGAAAACAUCAUUGUCAA
rnacentral:lncRNA from 1 species